rnacentral:rRNA from 1 species
UAAGGUGGUUAUAGCAACGGGGCUCACCUCUUCCCAUUCCGAACAGAGAAGUUAAGCCCGUUAGCGCAGAUGGUACUGCUAUCUUGUGGGAGAGUAUGUCGCCGCCUUUU